UACGUAGGGGGCAAGCGUUGUCCGGAAUCAUUGGGCGUAAAGAGCGUGUAGGCGGCCUUUUAAGUCUGCUGUGAAAGUCCAGGGCUCAACCCUGGGAUGUCAGUGGAUACUGGAAGGCUCGAGUCCGGAAGAGGCAAGUGGAAUUCCUGGUGUAGCGGUGAAAUGCGCAGAUAUCAGGAGGAACACCGAUGGCGAAGGCAGCUUGCGUGGGACGUGACUGACGCUGAGACGCGAAAGCGUGGGGAGCAAACAGG
rnacentral:rRNA from 1 species